rnacentral:piRNA from 1 species
UGGCCAGGAAUCCUGAUACCUUUGGGAA